GAAAAUAAUGAAACUGUAUGGUGCAGAAAGUGUUUUUUUCAUUGCAGUUUCUGCUGCUGGGAAAGCGGUAGAUCACUAUGGCUUCUGUACCGUGAUUAGUCACUCUUUUUCGUAUCGGUCACUAUUUUCGGUAUUUUCGGUUAUCAUUUCGGUGGCUGCAUUCCGUAUCGGUGACGUUCGACGUUUGAUAGUUCAUCAAAUUGUAGCGCUGUUAUUUGGUCACCUGUCAGCUGCGCUACUGUUUUAGCAGCGCGUUUAGUAGCGACCGGUAAAGUGUCAAAUAAUGAUACUGCGCUGACAAACGGUUUAUACUCACCACCGAAAUGAAGCUUAUGAUAAAUAAAAUACUGCUGCUUGCUGGUCACUGAUUGAAGAUCGUUCAGGGGCUACCAUUGGCCAAUCUCACAAACGGGAUAUAAUAAGAACUGAUGCAGGU